rnacentral:rRNA from 1 species
AUUGAACGCUGGCGGCAGGCCUAACACAUGCAAGUCGAACGAGUGGCGGACGGGUGAGUAAUGUCUGGGAAACUGCCUGACGGAGGGGGAUAACUACUGGAAACGGUAGCUAAUACCGCUUACCCUCAGAUGUGCCCAGAUGGGAUUAGCUAGUUGGUGGGGUAACGGCUGACCAAGGCGACGAUCCGUAGCUGGUCUGAGAGGAUGACCAGCCACACUGGAACUGAGACACGGUCCCGACUCCUACGGGAGGAAGCAGUGGGGACAAUUGCACAAUGGGCGCAAGCCUGAUGCAGCCAUGCCGCGUGUAUGAAGAAGGCCUUCGGGUUGUAAAGUACUUUCAGCGGGGAGGCGUUACCCGCAGAAGAAGCACCGGCUAACUCCGUGCCAGCAGCCGCGGUAAUAC